CAGGAAGUGAAGUGGCUGGGAGAGAGAGGAUAUAAGCAGGAAGAAACAGGAGCUUGAACUCUUUUCCACUGAGACACUAAUGAGGGGCCCACUCAAGAUGGUCAUGAGCAGCCCCAGGCAUGACUUUGGGAACUCCAGUGGAAAGAAGGCAUUCCUUUUUGGCUAGAUCCAGAAAAAGUCCUGCCUAAGACUGACAUUGGCUCUGUUUGGUCACUGAGUCAAAUUCUGACAAACCACAUUGAUUCUUAACAGCUUCUGGACUCUGCCCAGUGAGCCUAUGUCACCUUUCAAGUCUCCCUUCAAAUACUUCCUCUGAAGGCAUCUCAGGCUCCAUUUGAGAGACUCACUCCUGGGGUCCUCCGGCUAGGCGCUCUGCACUGCCGGCAGAUGACCAUGAAGAACAAUAUUAUGCCUGUGUGUGCCUCUCCUGCCAUGAUAGUCACACCAUGGUUGCCAGUCCUGCUUUAAUGACAUUCUCACUUGAUGUUCAAAGUAGCUUCUCCAUUGCAGCACCUGGUGAACACGAGCCUGGACCCUAUAGAACCCUAAGGCUUCACGAGUCUGAGCCUGCAGUUGGACCAGCAUGGCCACUGUUCUGGACCUAUUCCCGUGGCUUGAAUGUGCACACAGUUCAGCUGGCCCAGUUCUACCAGAGGCAAAGGGGUUCCUUGCAGAUGUGAUGCCAGGAGGACAGUCAUGCCUGUGCUUCCAGGAACCCCCAUUCUAUUCUAUGCCAGAGACACACAGAUGGUGGCUGGAUUCCAGCCACAGAUGCAGCUCCCUCAAGAACAGUGAAGCCUACAACAGGAGUGUGCCCCCUCUGGGUCUCAGGCCUGAGGGGACAGUAGCAUCUGUGUGACCGAAGACUCACCCUCUGUGAGUGGAACAGUUAAGGCUGUCUGUGGCCUAGCAUCUGCUGGUCCCAUUCACUAUGGCAAGGCUGUGGACAUUCAGUCUUAGACCUUCUCACCCCAGUGCCUGAACUCAACAGGAAAACGUCAGCUGCAAAGUCCUGGACUCUGCCUGCCAUCACCAUCACUCUACAGACAUCUUCAGCACAUCUCUGUGAGAUUACUUCCUUUAUACUAGGGUUUUGUGUAGCUAUUUCCUCCUGGUGGCAACACUCCUUCCUGGAGAUGCUAAGCUCACAAUGAAGUUACAAGACUCAUGAGGCCCCAGACCCCAUGAGGCUCCCUCCUUGAGGUUAUAUAAGCUUAAACAAUUACUGUAGAGUUACUAGCAUGUUAUUCAGGGAGUUUCAGGGAUGCACCUUUCAUGAGAUUGUCACCCAUGCUGGAGGGGAGGAGGGAUUUUCAGCAGUACAGCAGCCUGAGUCACCUAUGUUCCUGUAAGUGACCCAAAUAAACUCAUUGGUUCACUAAGUUAAACUGGGGUGAAAUAGUUUUUUUAGCCCAUUGUCGGCACCCUAUCUGACGUCCAUGGACAUCUGCUCACAUCUCCAGCAGGACAAUACUGAGGAUUUAUAUGUAAUGUAUUAUUUUGCUCUCGGGCUAACUCCAUUGAGUAUGGUACAAUGAAUAUUCCCACAUUUUCCUAAACUGGAAACUGAGACACCAAGGUUAAAGAGCUCCUGAAGAAGCACAGAGAAAGGGAAGUGGAGAUUUCCCAUUUGUCAGGCAAAGUGGGAAGGUCUGCAGUGAAUCCAUAUCAGGUUAGAGAAAAGGGGUGUCGACAGAGAUUCAAGCUCCUGGUGAGAGAUGAAGGCAAUGUGGGGGGUGGGGGGACACACAUCAGGGCAAGUAUCGUUUGCAUGAGUCCUAACCCACUAAAAACUGUGAAGUGAAAAUAGUUUAAAACAAGGACAAUCAAGGUGGAGUCCCACAUGUGAGCAGUGUGAUGGCACUCGGGAUGGAG
rnacentral:lncRNA from 1 species